rnacentral:lncRNA from 1 species
GAUUUGUUACUUAUCAAUUUUUGACCCUUGGUUGUUUGCUUUUACAUAGUAUAGUAUAGUUUCCAAUUAAGUAGUUGGCGAUGGCUAGCUUUCUCAAAAUUUGAUCCCAGCUGAUAAUAUAACUUUGGUUUUUGACCUUAAGUAAUUAAUUAGGGUCAAUUUAUGACCAAUGGAUGAGCAUAAAAACAACCUUCUGUAACAUUCUAGUGAAAGGUCAAAAUGCAAUUUCUGUUAAUUCUUCCUCAAAACUAGAGGCACAAGUCCGAAAAUAAGGGAUCAAUUAAG